rnacentral:lncRNA from 1 species
CAUCUCAUCUUCCUCAUCCAAUUUAUUUAUCAACUGCCGACCACAUGUCAAGUAUAAAAACACAAGCAUAGAACAAUCUAUUGCUUUUAUAGAUGAUUACAAAAAAAGAAAGAAAAGGGCUCAUCUUACAGAUUUGACUACACUAUUAUGAUGUCAAAACUGUAUAUAGCAUAGACAGUUGUAGUCAAUAACAUAUAGCUAAAAACUUCAGAAAAACUAUGGCCCUACAAUGACCAUACAUAAGAUAUGCAUCCUCAAUAAAUAACAAAAUAAGAGCUUCAAACAUCAUCAUUCCUUCUCCUGCUUAAUCACUAAUCUAUUAUCUUUUUGUCUGCAUUACAUGCCGAAAAUUCAUCUCCCAAACACCUUGUUUCCUCUUUGAUCAGAACGUUCAUCUUGUAAUCUAGGUCACAUGCAGAAAAUUCAUCCUCCAAACACUUCUUUGAUGAACAAUCUGUCAUCCAAUCAUCUUGGCUAAGGGAAACGAUUUCUAAAGCCUUGGGUGUGAGAAAAUCAUUUUCUGACACCUAUGAGAAUUAAAGAUUAAAAACCAUCAAACAGAAUUAAUAUUACAAAAUAAACUGUAUCUUAAAAUACCUUCCCAAUGUCAGCAUAGAAGGCAAAUCAAUGAUUUGAGAGAGGGAAGUACAUUGCUCAUUAAAUAAACUGUAUCUUAAUAUACCUUGUUUAAUGUUUGAGUUUUGAUGUUUCUAAACUGGAUUGUGGAGUAUAUUUUCUGACUUACUCUUCAAGCAUGGAGCCAGCCACUGCAAAGCAAAGAGAGCACAACAAAGUAAGAAUAAUUCCCCAAGAAAGAGGCAUGAAUGUAAAAAGAAAGCAAACACAAGAAAGAAACGCGAAUACAAAAUAGAAAGUAAGUAGAUACCAAUCCAUAUGCACGUACAUAUUCAGUGGAAGCAGGGUUACAGAACGGAAGAAGGAGAUGAUGUAUAUAUAGACCAAACAAAUAGCAGCAGUCUUCAUAACACAAAA